rnacentral:rRNA from 1 species
UACGUAGGGGGCAAGCGUUGUCCGGAAUCAUUGGGCGUAAAGCGCGUGUAGGCGGCUCGAUAAGUCUGCUGUGAAAGCCCAAGGCUCAACCUUGGGAUGCCGGUGGAUACUGUCGAGCUCGAGUCCGGAAGAGGAGUGUGGAAUUCCUGGUGUAGCGGUGAAAUGCGCAGAUAUCAGGAGGAACACCAAUGGCGAAGGCGGCUCACUGGUCCGGUACUGACGCUGAGGUGCGAAAGCGUGGGGAGCAAACAGG